ensembl:misc_RNA Metazoa_SRP Metazoan signal recognition particle RNA
GCUGGGAGUGGUGGUGCACACCUGUAAUCCCAGCUACUUGGGAGGCUGAGGCAGGAGAAUUGCUUGAACCCAGGAGGCGGAGGUUGCAGUGAGCCAAAACUGCGCCACUGCGCCACUGCACUCCAGCCUGGGUGACAGAGUGAGACUCUGUCUCAA